GGCUGAAUUCAGGCAUGGGCGAAGAAGUGAAAAUUAACGGUUACGAUAACGGCAGCGGCAGCGGCAGCGGUGAUGACGACAGAGUAUCCGAUUGGGAAGCCGGAUUACCUGGCAUCGAUGAUUUGACUCCCUUAUCUCAGGCGUUGAUUCCGCCGGAUCUUGCUUCGGCCUUCAGAAUCACCCCGGAACCUUCCCGGAGCAUGCUCGACGUCAACCGUGAGUCUCAGAAAAUUUUAGCCUCCCUCUGCGGCGGAGCCAGCGGCGGCAGUAGUCAUCACUCUCAAGCCUUAUCUUCGUCGAAUAAUUUCAAAUCAUUCCACGAUGGAACCACCAUCACCGGCAACCGGACCCACCGGGACAACAUGAUUAUUGAUAUUGACGAAACCACCGAUCUGACCCGAGAAGGCUCCGAUUCCAGGAAGACCCGAAGAUUAAUGGAAUCCCCGACUGAAGAAGCUGAUUCCUCAGCUGCCGGGAAAAAUAGUUGUACUAAUAAUAAUGAGAAUUGCGGGGAGGAUGUUUCUGCCCGGACUUUGAAGAGGCCGAGGCUGGUGUGGACUCCGCAAUUGCACAAGCGGUUCGUCGACGUCGUGGCUCAUUUAGGGAUCAAAAAUGCUGUCCCAAAAACAAUUAUGCAGCUGAUGAACGUGGAAGGAUUAACGAGAGAAAAUGUUGCCAGUCAUUUGCAAAAAUAUCGCCUUUAUUUGAAGAGAAUGCAAGGUUUGUCGACGGAGGGCCCGUCCUCGUCGGAUCAUUUGUUCGCCUCGACUCCGGUGCCGCCGAGCUUGCAUGACUCUACCUGUGGUGGCAGCGGCGGAGCUGCAACCGGGCAUGGACAUGGACAUGGGAAUAGUAAUGGGCAUGUUGGUAUGCCGAUUCCGAUGCCUUAUCCGCCUCCGGCGGGGGCACAGAUGGUUUCGGUGCCGAUGAUGGGAAUGCCGGGGCCGACCCCGGGCGGUUAUCAUGGGUAUGAAUCUCAUCAUCAUCAUCACCACCAUCACCAUCAGUAUGGUAUGGUACAACAGCAGAGGGACUGGGCUGGGAAUAAAUUUGCGACUUUGGCGCCAUAUCAUCACCAUGUUGCUCCUAAUGAUAAAUAACUUUUUCAAGUCUUUUGAUGUGCCGAGGAGUAGUAGAAAGGAUAGCUUGAGCAUGGACCCUUCAGAUGUUGGUGAAGUUUCAAUGAAACCAUUGGAAACAGUUUCAGAUGUAACCAGUGACAUUCUGCACCCAUAUGUUAGCUAGGCAGCAGAAAGACUACGGCUCGAAAUCUAGUGGUGAUACAUUAAGUGGAAGUUGGUCUCAGGAUAAUAUCAUCUACCUGCUGCAACUUGUUAGUAUAUUCUUAGCCUGUUCAUUAUUGAUAAUAGUAUUUUCUUAUGUAUUAAUGACUGCUGAAUGUUCCUCUACAGCAACCAGAUCACAAAUAAAUAAUAGAAUUAGUCAAACAUUUGCCAGCAGCUCUUGCCCAUUGUUGGACUAUAAAGGUGGACUGUUUUCAGUACAGCUAGGGAACAAUGAGAUACUGUCUACAUCACUAGGCUGUAGCGUAAUGCAUGGAUACAUGACUCUGAUUUCUUUCCCUGGAUGUGUUUAAACUUGUGCAUUUCGGCAAGUGAAGUGAACUAAAGCCAUAUAGCUGCAGCUUGCAAUAUAUGUGUUGUUUUGCAAUCAUCUUCUUGACGUAUAUUGUUUCUUUUAAAGAGCUGGAGAUCAGUGCAGAUUUUCCCAAAUGUUGGAUUUUCUGUGUUAUAGUCAUCAUGUAAUAAUCA